rnacentral:tRNA from 1 species
UAUUCUGUGACUCAGUUGGUUAAAGCACCGGUCUAGAGAAUACGAGUUCGUGGGUUCGAAUCCCAUCAGAAUGC